CCAUGGCAUUAUGGGUAAGAGAUAAUGUGGAGGCAGAGCAGAGCAUGCAGAGGAACAAAAUAAAGCCCCAAAAUAACCGUAUUCUGCACUUGGUUCAAGAGGCGCACACGUUUUCACGGUGUCUGCUGACGAAGGAGAGAGUUGCGAUAAAAUAGAUCUUCAAAAGACAUCUGUAUGAUGCGUGGCCAUUAUUUCUUGGGACCAGUGUAGCUACAGUGAAAACGUACCGUCAGCACGGCCGGGAGUUGAGAGGAAGCACUAGCGCUGGGGCAGAGUGUGGCCGGAGAAGGCGUUGGAGGAGACGCUUGCCAAUUCGCGGGAGAAGAAGGGCGUGUCGGCUCCUGACACCGUGGGGUGUCCUACCGCGAUCCACCAAGAGAGGGCAACUUAUACCAGCGAAAGAUACAGCUGCAAGUAUCCCCGUUACAGGCUUCAGCGUGCAGAGACGUUUCAUUCCCUUGCCGUUCUUAGGCUGAAGAGUGCGGCUCUGCAGACGGCAUCAGGACUGCACUACGCUGAGGUACAAUGAGAAGAGACGUUGGCCGUGACCGUGGGCCUUAAAUAUCCACAAGACACAAGAGUCAGCUCUAAUGAAACACCAGACAGAUGUCUUCAUAACCUCUCUCAUUGCAGUGGCACUCAGUCUGCCUCACCCUGAGAGACGGAGGUGACUUUGAGCUAUGACGGAUGUCCCUGGGGUGUGUGUGAGUGUGUGUCUUAAGCUCAAUGAUGAUCAGAGUGACAGCUAGUUGUCUAACCCAUGCUGAGGUUGUGAAGGGUGACAGCUCCUUAAUAUCCCUGUUCAUUAAAGAACUCACUGGGAGUGUGUGUGUGAAACCAUAUACAGUCAAGGAGAGGAAGCCGAGCAGCUGUUUGAUGACACAGAUGUGUUACGAACACACAUACAAAGGUACAGCCCUGGUCCAUAAAGCCUAUCAUUAUUUAAUGAAUGUUCUCCUUAUCUCUCUGUCAACCUCAGAAAGACAGGAUCUCUCCUCCAACACCUCCUUCCCUCCCUCUUGACUCCUCCUCUGAAUCUCUUUUCAGCGUGUUGUGUGUCCGCACCACGCUUCCCAAAGCUGGGUAAAGUGCAGUUCACUGCUUUUAAGGUAGUGAAUUUCUAGUGUAUUUAUAGAGGGGAAAUAUUGCAGAUAACAUGGGAUGAUGUAAUAAAGAAAUCAUAGUGUGCUAUGAAAAACAAAUUGUUUUUUCUUUAACCAGAUGUGUAAUUCACAUAAUCCACUAUGGAAUUUGUUUACUUUCUAACAAUCAUCUUGUAUAAGGGACCACAUUUACACCUGGGAUUAACAUACCAUCUGUUUCUGGUGUGUCUUACCUGGAUAAGGAAAACGCAUGCUAAUGCAAGGUGUAAAUGGAGGCAGAACGCAUUGAAUGCAAUCAGUUCAGGGCAAGACUGAACUGUGGGUCCUCAUCCGUUUGUAUUGCAGAUGUCUACUUUUGCCUUUAUAUAAUCAUCAGGUACAGAACUUACAGCAAGGUUACACAUAGCAGCUGUAAAACAACCAGCAGGUGUGCUAGCACACGCCAUGUUUGCUAUGUAUCUGGUAGUUUGUGGUGUUACGGCCUCGCCCUUAUUUGUGUAUAUGUAUCUGUGUUGUGCAGCUGUGUGUUAUGUUAAGCAGGAUGUGCGAACCCUUGCCGAGGAUUGGCUGGCGCGAGACCCACCUACUUCCUGGUUCCGGCUGGUGGUCUGAUUGGUGCGGCGCCUGGCAACCUCCUCCAGUCAUCUACCGCCUUCCAGAUCAUCCCCUGUUUAAAUAGCUGCCUACAUGUGUGAACUUCGCAGUUGUGAUUUUCCCCUUGAUCAACUCGCCUUGUUCGUAUCGUCCUUUAUAGUGGUAAUUGCGUUAACUGCUAUAGAAGCAUUAGUUCUAGUGAUAAGUGUUAGUUCUUAAGGUUUAAAUUUAGUUCUAGUGUCUGAGCAAGUACCUUAGUGGGGGAUUACUGAUGUCGACCAGACACCUGCAGUUAAGUUUGUUAGAUACACUAGGCUUAGAGGGUGCUGCUCCUUUUGUUUCUUACUGGGCAAGUCAGAGUUUUGUUUAGUUUGAUUUCGAAGUAGCAAGUGGCUAUCUCUCAGUUGGAGAGACCUCUUUAAGUUAUAUCUGGUUCUUUGAUUUAAGCAGCAUCCACCAGCCCUUUUCCGUUCUGUUUGUAAACGCUGUCAACAAUAAACAACUUGCAUUUUUACCAAAAA